UACGGAGGGUGCAACCGUUGUCCGGAAUCACUGGGCGUAAAGCGCACGUAGGCGGAUUGUUAAGUCGGGGGUGAAAUCCUGGAGCUCAACUCCAGAACUGCCUUCGAUACUGGCGAUCUCGAGUUCGGGAGAGGUGAGUGGAACUGCGAGUGUAGAGGUGAAAUUCGUAGAUAUUCGCAAGAACACCAGUGGCGAAGGCGGCUCACUGGCCCGAUACUGACGCUGAGGUGCGAAAGCGUGGGGAGCAAACAGG
rnacentral:rRNA from 1 species